UACGUAGGGGGCGAGCGUUGUCCGGAAUUAUUGGGCGUAAAGAGCUCGUAGGCGGUGUGUCGCGUCGGCCGUGAAAACUUGCAGCUUAACUGUGGGCGUGCGGUCGAUACGGGCAUCACUGGAGUUCGGCAGGGGAGACUGGAAUUCCUGGUGUAGCGGUGAAAUGCGCAGAUAUCAGGAGGAACACCGGUGGCGAAGGCGGGUCUCUGGGCCGAUACUGACGCUGAGGAGCGAAAGCGUGGGGAGCGAACAGG
rnacentral:rRNA from 1 species